rnacentral:rRNA from 1 species
UACGUAGGGGCCUAGCGUUGUCCGGAUUUAUUGGGCGUAAAGCGCACGUAGGUGGUUUGUUAUGUCGGAUGUGAAAGCCCUCGGCUCAACUGAGGAAGUGCAUCCGAAACUGGCAAGCUAGAGUAUGUAAGAGGGUCGCGGAAUUCCCGGUGUAGAGGUGAAAUUCGUAGAUAUCGGGAGGAACACCGGUGGCGAAGGCGGCGACCUGGGACAAUACUGACACUGAGGUGCGAAAGCGUGGGGAGCAAACAGG